rnacentral:rRNA from 1 species
AGUGAACGCUGGCGGUAGGCCUAACACAUGCAAGUCGAACGGCAGCACAGUAAGAGCUUGCUCUUACGGGUGGCGAGUGGCGGACGGGUGAGGAAUACAUCGGAAUCUACUUUUUCGUGGGGGAUAACGUAGGGAAACUUACGCUAAUACCGCAUACGACCUACGGGUGAAAGCAGGGGAUGUUCGGACCUUGCGCGAGUGAAUGAGCCGAUGUCGGAUUAGCUAGUUGGCGGGGUAAAGGCCCACCAAGGCGACGAUCCGUAGCUGGUCUGAGAGGAUGAUCAGCCACACUGGAACUGAGACACGGUCCAGACUCCUACGGGAGGCAGCAGUGGGGAAUAUUGGACAAUGGGCGCAAGCCUGAUCCAGCCAUACCGCGUGGGUGAAGAAGGCCUUCGGGUUGUAAAGCCCUUUUGUUGGGAAAGAAAAGCAGCAGGUUAAUCCCCCGCUGUUCUGACGGUACCCAACGAAUAAGCACCGGCUAACUUCGUG